rnacentral:rRNA from 1 species
CAGACUAGAGUGCAGUAGGGGAGACUGGAAUUCCUGGUGUAGCGGUGGAAUGCGCAGAUAUCAGGAGGAACACCGAUGGCGAAGGCAGGUCUCUGGGCUGUAACUGACGCUGAGGAGCGAAAGCAUGGGGAGCGAACAGGAUUAGAUACCCUGGUAGUCCAUGCCGUAAACGUUGGGCACUAGGUGUGGGGACCAUUCCACGGUUUCCGCGCCGCAGCUAACGCAUUAAGUGCCCCGCCUGGGGAGUACGGCCGCAAGGCUAAAACUCAAAGGAAUUGACGGGGGCCCGCACAAGCGGCGGAGCAUGCGGAUUAAUUCGAUGCAACGCGAAGAACCUUACCAAGGCUUGACAUGUUCUCGAUCGCCGUAGAGAUACGGUUUCCCCUUUGGGGCGGGUUCACAGGUGGUGCAUGGUUGUCGUCAGCUCGUGUCGUGAGAUGUUGGGUUAAGUCCCGCAACGAGCGCAACCCUCGUUCCAUGUUGCCAGCACGUAAUGGUGGGGACUCAUGGGAGACUGCCGGGGUCAACUCGGAGGAAGGUGAGGACGACGUCAAAUCAUCAUGCCCCUUAUGUCUUGGGCUUCACGCAUGCUACAAUGGCCGGUACAAUGGGUUGCGAUACUGUGAGGUGGAGCUAAUCCCAAAAAGCCGGUCUCAGUUCGGAUUGGGGUCUGCAACUCGACCCCAUGAAGUCGGAGUCGCUAGUAAUCGCAGAUCAGCAACGCUGCGGUGAAUACGUUCCCGGGCCUUGUACACACCGCCCGUCAAGUCACGAAAGUUGGUAACACCCGAAGCCGG